rnacentral:rRNA from 1 species
GACGAACGCUGGCGGCGUGCCUAAUACAUGCAAGUUGAGCGCUGAAGGUUGGUACUUGUACCAACUGGAUGAGCAGCGAACGGGUGAGUAACGCGUGGGGAAUCUGCCUUUUAGCGGGGGACAACAUUUGGAAACGAAUGCUAAUACCGCAUAAAAACUUUAAACACAAGUUUUAAGUUUGAAAGAUGCAAUUGCAUCACUCAAAGAUGAUCCCGCGUUGUAUUAGCUAGUUGGUGAGGUAAAGGCUCACCAAGGCGAUGAUACAUAGCCGACCUGAGAGGGAGAUCGGCCAAAAUGGGACGGAGACACGGCACAAACUCCUACGGGAGGCAGCAGUAGGGAAUCUUCGGCAAUGGACGAAAGUCUGACCGAGAAACGCCGCGUGAGUGAAGAAGGUUUUCGGAUCGUAAAACUCUGUUGGUAGAGAAGAAAGUGGGGGAGAGUGGAAAGCUCAUCAAGUGACGGUAACUACCGAGAAAGGGACGGCUAACUACGUG